rnacentral:lncRNA from 1 species
UGUAAUUUGGCAUCAUUUGGAUCAAUGUGCACACUGUGUCAUACUUGCUAUCAAGAGCUCUAACUAUCUUCUUGAUGAUGAAUUUGUUGGUAAUCUCUUCGCUUCCUAAGCCAGCAAUCUCAUUGGUGAUGAGAGCUAGCCUAGAGUACAUUACAGCGACUCCUUCACCAUCCUUCAUCUUGAACUUACCAAGCACACUUUGAAGCACAUCCAACUUAGAUUCUCUGAUAGAAUUAGUACCUUCGUUCAUAUCAACUAAAGUAUCCCAAAUUUCUUUUGCAUUCUCAAGACGAC